UUGACUUUUCUCCAUUGGCAGUGCCACCACGGACAUGAUGUCCGAGAAGACCGGGUCUCUGGGUCGAGGCAGGCAGAGGAGCCUCUGCUGCUUUGCACCAAACCAAGGGCAAGCCCGAUUCCUGCUGUUUGCUCUGUAUGCUGACCCAAAGGUAGGUACUAGCCAGAGGCAGCUAUUGCCCGGACACCAGUUCUAACCCUGGAACAGGAAGAAGUGUCUUUAGACACGGUCUCUUGGGGUCAGCAGCUCUGCGGAAGACUGGAAGAAUCCAGAGCUAGAAUAAAGGGCAGAGAUUAGCAGAUUCAGGCUCUGGGGCUGAGCUCUGACCCUGCCCUGACUCUGAGAGAUCCUGCUGGUGCCUCCUCUUCUCCAUGGAGCGUGUGGCAGCUUAGUGGCGAUGGAAUUCAUUGUGCACAAUGGAGUGUCAGUUGCUUCUUGCUAAUGGAUGACUUCAAAUGUGGAGAAAGAUUUAUUCACCAAGUCAAGCAUAAGCCUCUAAGAGACGACUAACCCUGACUAAUCAGAUGGAGAACAUAAUGGUUGAAGUGAGCACGGGACUUGGCGCUUCCUGCACAUCCUUAUGAGUCCUCAGGCUCAGGCUGAGCACCAUAUUUCUGCAUCUAGCCUAUGGAUCAAUACUGCACUGAUAUUUAAAUAACAAAUAUUUAUUGUGUAUUUAGUCUUGUCUACAGUGAUGAUGUAUUUCACAUGUUCAUUUAUUUAAUCAAUAAACAGUUAUUAGGUAUCUA